rnacentral:rRNA from 1 species
GGUUAAGCGACUAAGCGUACACGGUGGAUGCCCUGGCAGUCAGAGGCGAUGAAGGGCGUGCUAAUCUGCGAUAAGCGCCGGUAAGGUGAUAUGAACCGUUAUAACCGGCGAUACCCGAAUGGGGAAACCCAGUGUGACUCGUCACACUAUCAUUAACUGAAUCCAUAGGUUAAUGAGGCGAACCGGGGGAACUGAAACAUCUAAGUACCCCGAGGAAAAGAAAUCAACCGAGAUUCCCCCAGUAGCGGCGAGCGAACGGGGAGGAGCCCAGAGCCUGAAUCAGCAUGUGUGUUAGUGGAAGCGUCUGGAAAGGCGCGCGAUACAGGGUGACAGCCCCGUACACAAAAGCGCAUGUGCUGUGAGCUCGAUGAGUAGGGCGGGACACGUGGUAUCCUGUCUGAAUAUGGGGGGACCAUCCUCCAAGGCUAAAUACUCCUGACUGACCGAUAGUGAACCAGUACCGUGAGGGAAAGGCGAAAAGAACCCCGGCGAGGGGAGUGAAAAAGAACCUGAAACCGUGUACGUACAAGCAGUGGGAGCCCCACCACCAAAGCAUUUGCUGUACCGCGUUGACGGAGCGAAGCGACGUCAAACCGAUAAAACAGCAGUGUAAAGUGAGCCGCAGGGCGCUUUGCGCGACAGCGCAAAGGCAGGCGGUUUCGCGUAGCGAAAGCGAAUGCUUUGGGGUGGGGUGACUGCGUACCUUUUGUAUAAUGGGUCAGCGACUUAUAUUCUGUAGCAAGGUUAACCGAAUAGGGGAGCCGGAGGGAAACCGAGUCUUAAUUGGGCGUUAAGUUGCAGGGUAUAGACCCGAAACCCGGUGAUCUAGCCAUGGGCAGGUUGAAGGUUGGGUAACACUAACUGGAGGACCGAACCGACUAAUGUUGAAAAAUUAGCGGAUGACCUGUGGCUGGGGGUGAAAGGCCAAUCAAACCGGGAGAUAGCUGGUUCUCCCCGAAAGCUAUUUAGGUAGCGCCUCGUGAAUUCAUCUCCG